rnacentral:rRNA from 1 species
UACGGAGGGUGCAAGCGUUGUCCGGAAUCACUGGGCGUAAAGGGCGCGUAGGCGGCUCAUGAAGGCUGUGGUGAAAGUCCGGGGCUCAACCUCGGAUCGGCCGUGGCGACUCGUGGGCUGGAGCACUGUAGAGGCGGGUGGAAUUCCGGGUGUAGUGGUGAAAUGCGUAGAUAUCGGGAGGAACACCAGUGGCGAAGGCGGCUUCCUGGCCUGUUCUUGACGCUGAGGCGCGAAAGCUAGGGGAGCAAACGGG